UUCAUCAGUCCCCUCCCUUUUCAUCUGCUCUUGCUGCCAGGUGCUCUGSCAUGCCCUUAUCGCAUCCUCAAAGGACUCUGGAGCGUGGGGGAUUGGAAAGACAAACCAAAUUCUUCUCCUGAGACAGGCAGCUGCCCAUGCUGUGUCUAAUCCUUUCAAUUAACUGGUAUCCUGCCUUCUUAUUGUGAUGAUGGACCAGCAUCUUUCCCACUAUGAAGGCAAAACCAUGAGGACUGGAUCAUCUGCCUUCGCUUGUUGUACUGCAAUGCAGGAACAGCCUGAUCUCAAAACUGUGACCAGACAGAAGAUAAACACUCCACAGGCCAAAAAGAAGAAUCACUUGGAUAUUUCAUGGAUCGCAUGAAAUGCUGUCCCUGGAGAGCAGUAAUUGAAGGGAGUGAAGGCGAUGGUAGCCCAGUUCAGCCACGUUGCUGAGUGGCAGAGACCUCACACACAAAGGUGCCUGGAAGGGGGGUCUCGAGCUCAUUCCUGUUCCAGGUCCAUGAGCCACCUGCACAGUGUAGGGCACCUGUGCAGCUGUGYCCUGGAGAGCUCUGAAGGGAGAAGGGAGAAGCCCAGGCACACUCGCCAGCUUAGCGUGUAUCYGGGAUUGUUGGGGUCAGUCAGGCAKGGUCAGAGCACAUCUCAGCCCCCAGGAGGGACAGCAAUGCCUGCUCUUCAUCUGUGGAUGGCCCAAAGCACCCAGAAGAUACAGUGGAGGUGAAAGAGGGUGGUACAGGAGGGCUGGAAGGGUGGGUCACAGAACUUUCUGUGCUUUUCAUCUCAUGGAGUUUUAGGACAUAACAGAGCUUUAAAACCUUUCCAGACUUCUUGCUUCAGUUUGAGAGCAGUUUCAGAACCCCACUGAGAAUCCUUUACASUGCUGAUUUUGUUGUUUAAUCUGCUCAGGUCCCAAAUGUUUCUGUUCUAAAUUUUCAAGCUGCUUGGUUAUGAGGAAGCAAUGGAGUGAGAGUGUCUUGCUUGUUUGGGCUUGGAUCAUUAUUCCAAUUCUAUGGGAAUUAAAAGUGGAGGGUCCUUUUGCUUAGAAAAUAGUGGGRAAAAAUAGAAAAUAAGAGCCAUGAGAAAAGGUCUGUGAAGCAUUGGCAGAACAGUUCAGGGAGGAAAGCAAGCACAGCAUGUUAUAUGAUUCCAGUGAUGGUCAUCUGCUCAACAAGCUACAAACACUGUAGGCCUUAAAGAUAUCCCUCUUGAGUUCUAAAAUCCUUUAACUGGUCUGAGUCAUUUGUACAGCUGAACAGGCUCGAGGUCUCUGAAGUAAAUUGGAAAUACCUGUAAUUCUGCAGAAAAUUAGAGAAGAGUUAUGUAGUCCCAAAGCAGAGGAAGAAAUAAAAAGGAGUCAUAAAACCUCUAGUCUCUGGGAAAGCUCUGGUUGAAGAUGACUUUCUAAUAGAAUUUUCUAAACUCUCUCAGUCUCACUUGGCUUCUGACAUAUGGAAAAAUUUUCAAAAGGCCAAAGUGAAAAGGUUCCAUUUCAGCAUUAAUUGCAGCGUUGGGUUUUCUUAACUCUCUCUCCUAGGAAAUAACUCACCAAUGCACCAUUUGCAAUAAUUAAAUUACAGGCCAAUUCUUCUGACUAAUGUGACUCAGAAGACACAGGUUAAAACAGCAUCUAGAAAAUGUCUGAGCAGCAUACCUUAUGGACAAGAACUUAGCAUAUAACUUGAGCCUGACAUUAAUCAGAAAGCUGCUAGAGAGUCUUACAGGCCUGUUAUUAUAAUCUGCUAUUUUUAAAAUCCUCUGAAGUAAUCAGAAAAUCAACCAGCUCAACAUCCCUAAAGAGAGCUGCUCCCACCCACCAGCAGUGGCUGACUUCACUGUUGACAUAAAAACCAUGAAGAUCUCAGUCUAGUAUUCUGCCAUGUAAUUGUAUCCUUAAUUUUGGCCUUGUUGAAAGUCUGCAGGAAAACUGAUCUUGUGUGUCCUCAUUAGAAGCAAUUCAUAUGUAAAUCAUUUAAGUUUUGGGGUUGUUUUUUUUU